rnacentral:rRNA from 1 species
CACUACGGUGCUGAAGCGACAAAUGCCCUGCUUCCAGGAAAAGCCUCUAAGCAUCAGGUAACAUCAAAUCGUACCCCAAACCGACACAGGUGGUCAGGUAGAGAAUACCAAGGCGCUUGAGAGAACUCGGGUGAAGGAACUAGGCAAAAUGGUGCCGUAACUUCGGGAGAAGGCACGCUGAUAUGUAGGUGAAGCGACUUGCUCGUGGAGCUGAAAUCAGUCGAAGAUACCAGCUGGCUGCAACUGUUUAUUAAAAACACAGCACUGUGCAAACACGAAAGUGGACGUAUACGGUGUGACGCCUGCCCGGUGCCGGAAG